rnacentral:hammerhead_ribozyme from 1 species
AUCUAUAUGACGAGUCCGAACUAGGACGAAACGCGAGUCUGGAU